rnacentral:sRNA from 1 species
GCUCUGUACAAGUUUCUGUUGAACAUGUAUUUCUUCUGGGUAUCUACCUAGGAGUGGAAUUGCUGGGUUAUACGGUCCCUCUGUGUUUAUCCUCUUGUGAAACUUCAAACUGUUUCCAAAGUACCUGCACCUUUGGCUCCCACUGGCAGUGGAGGAGGGUUCCAGUUUCCCCCACAUCCUCGCCAGCACGUACUGUUCUGUGACUUUAGGAUUGUAGCCAUCCCAGUUGAUAUUGUAACAAAACUUGCCCAGCAGGGUGUGAUAUCUGUAGAGGACAGGAAAAGGGCUGUUUUGUUAGUGGCUUGGCAUAUCAGCCAUGGUUGUUUUUUUCAAAAUCUCCUGAGGAAGCCCCAUGUAGCACGUGAGCCACAGCACGUGCGGCCGAGCACCCUGCACCCCUGCUGGCUGCGGCCCUUGCUGGUGGCUAGUGGGAGGGGAGGGCUUGAGUUGUAACUUGUUUCCAGGAUGUGAAAUAGUCUCCUCUGCCUCCGUGUCUCAUCUACCACAUGCCCCUUUCUCUGCAGGUGUGACCAUGAAGCUCAUGGAUGAGGUCGCCGGGAUCGUGGCUGCACGCCACUGCAAGACCAACAUCGUCACAGCUUCCGUGGAUGCCAUUAAUUUUCAUGACAAGAUCAGAAAAGCUCACGUAAUGCCUGCUGGCGCUGACCACACAGCUCCUUCCUCCUCUCCCAGCACUGGCACGAAGCGCUCCCUGCUGCGUCAUCACCAUCUCAGGACGCAUGACCUU